GAUCUCAAACAAGCUAAGGAGAGUUGGACAUGGUUAGUAUUUGAAUAGNAGACCACCAGGAAAUCCUUGGGUUUGAGGUUA
rnacentral:rRNA from 1 species